AACGAACGCUGGCGGCGUGCUUAACACAUGCAAGUCGAACGGUAAGGCCCUUCGGGGUACACGAGUGGCGAACGGGUGAGUAACACGUGGGUGAUCUGCCCUGCACUUCGGGAUAAGCCUGGGAAACUGGGUCUAAUACCGGAUAGGACUCCUGGCUUAAUGGUUGGGGGUGGAGAGCUCUUGCGGUGAGGGAUGGGCCCGAGGCCGAGCAGCUUGUUGGGGGGGUAAUGGCCUACCAAGGCGACGACGGGUAGACGGCCUGAGAGGGUGACCGGUCACACUGGGACUGAGAUACGGCCCAGACUCCUACGGGAGGCAGCAGUGGGGAAUAUUGCACAAUGGGCGCAAGCCUGAUGCAGCGACGCCGCGUGAGGGAUGACGGCCUUCGGGUUGUAAACCUCUUUCAGCUAUGACGAAGCGCAAGUGACGGUAGUAGCAGAAGAAGGACCGGCCAACUACGUGCCAGCCGCCGCCGUAA
rnacentral:rRNA from 1 species